CUAUAUACUACAUAUAACAACAACUAUUUCAUGCUGGUCAUAAACCACAGAUAACAACAAUAAUUGGUUAUCUGAACUUGUUUGGCACAUGUUUCUCUUCUGACCUUAUUUUUUCAAUGAUUUUUUGUUGCUGUUCUAUUUUUGUUGUUUUCUUGCGUAAAUCCUAAAAAACAGGCAUUAUAUUUUAUUAUAUUGCACAUAAUAUUGUAUAUAUACUUUCAUUAGGAGAAACCAAUUUAAAGAUUAUUGAACACACCAUUUCCAGUUGAGUGAUUUUAUCUUUCAACUGAGACACGUGUUUAAUUCUUUGCUUAUGGUUUUGAUGGCCUAUUAGCUCGGCAUAUUUUUCACUAAUCUCUUCGUGAUCUUUUUUUAGGCGCGCAUUAUAUUCAAGAAGUUUUCUGAUCUCUCUGCAACAACAAAAACAUAUUUUAUUAUUUCAAGAAUGAAAUCUUUUAAUAAAAUAAUUUAUAUGCGACUGGAACGUACUCUUCGGCGGCUUCUCGUCGGGCUUUUUCUUCUUCUAGUAAUUCAGUCUUGUCCUCUAUAUUAUUACGCCUCUCCUCAAAGGUUCUAACCGUAUUAGAAAGUUCUUCUAUUCUGACAUUUGCCUAUAAAUGUAUCCUUAUAAAUUCUACAACAUAAUUAUACUAUAACAAUGAUUUGAAGUCAAUACCUCAUUUAAAGUAUCUUUGUAUUUUAUUGUUUCAGCUUCCAAGAAAUUAUUACUUUUUGCUAUUUCUAAUUUACUUUCUUCCAAUUGUCGAGCAAGUUCACGAUUUAUCAUUUCUAAUUGAGAAAUUUCGAGUUCUUGAGUACUAUUCUUUUUCUCCAAUUUAAGCAGCAUAUUUUUCGUUUCAUCUAAACGUUCAGCCAUGUUUUGAAGUCGGAUUUUCAUCUAAUAUUUAAAAUCAAAGAUGAAUUAGGUUAAAUAAAAUCCAUUAAAUCAAGAUUUAUAGUUGUGACAUAAAAGCAAAUAAAGAUACCUCGGCAUUUUGUGCAUCUUUUUUAUCACAGUUCGCAUGUAAUUGUGUCACUUCCUUCGUUGUUAACUGUUUUAAAUCUUGGAUUUUGGCUUCAAAUACAGAUUUAAUCACAUGAAUUUUGUUUACUUUUUCAGAUUCUAAUUGAUUCACUAAUACUCGUUUGUCAUCGAACUCUUUCAUCAGAUCAUGUAUCUGACUAUGUACCACUUUCGAAUUAUUACGCAUAAUGAUAGUCACCUGGAUCUGUGUAGAAGACUUCAACUCUCCUAAAAUUAUUGAAAGUUUAUUUAUUUCUGCAUCUUUCUCUGAUAGUUUUUCAUCCAAUUCUGAUCGUUCCUUCUCGAUCCGAGUCAGGUAUGCUGUAUAUCUUUCUUUGGUUAAUCGCAUUUCUUCUUCUACGGCAGUUUUUGCUUCUUUGACCAUAACAUGCACCUACAUAAACGAAUUUGUACAUAAAUAAAUAAGCGAAUUAUAUUCAUACAAUUGGAAGCUAGGACAGAAGAAAACUUCUUUUACCCGUGUAUCACAUUCAAUAAUCAUUCUUUUCAGCCUUUCUUCACAUUUUGUAAUUUUGUUUGUUAAAUCAUUAAUACAAGUAUUAAGUUCAAGCUUCUCCUGUUCCAAUGAACAGACCUCUUCUUUAUGAUUUUCUGAUGUUUUUUCUAUCUUUUUCAUUAAUACUUCAACUUGUUUUACAAGACUUUGAAUCUACGAAUCAAAAUUACAAUUACUCAAAUAGUAGUUGUACUUACAAAAUUUAAUAUUCUAGUAUUUACGUUGAUUAUUUACUUUAUCCUCACUGAGACGUUUCUGGUUGAUCAAUGCAGACUCUACUGUAUCUAUCUUUUUCUCGAAAUCUGAUAUACGACUUCUGAGAUCACUUUCUAAGUCUUCCUUAGCUUGGAUUUCAUGUGCUUUAGCUUCACAAGCUUCAAUUAAUUGUUUUUGAAUGAGCUCUAUCUCGGAACGAUGUCUCUUGAUAUGCUCCUGUAAUACCUCCUGUUGCAAUUGAAUCUGCAAGUAAAAAUUGCAAAUUGUAUAAUACUUCAAUUGAAUAAAAAUAUGUUUCUAAUCCUAAGAAA